rnacentral:rRNA from 1 species
AUUGAACGCUGGCGGCAGGCCUAACACAUGCAAGUCGAGCGGAUGAAGGGAGCUUGCUCCUGGAUUCAGCGGCGGACGGGUGAGUAAUGCCUGGGAAUCUGCCUGGUAGUGGGGGAUAACGUCCGGAAACGGGCGCUAAUACCGCAUACGUCCUGAGGGAGAAAGUGGGGGAUCUUCGGACCUCACGCUAUCAGAUGAGCCUAGGUCGGAUUAGCUAGUUGGUGGGGUAAAGGCCUACCAAGGCGACGAUCCGUAACUGGUCUGAGAGGAUGAUCAGUCACACUGGAACUGAGACACGGUCCAGACUCCUACGGGAGGCAGCAGUGGGGAAUAUUGGACAAUGGGCGAAAGCCUGAUCCAGCGAUGCCGCGUGUGUGAAGAAGGUCUUCGGAUUGUAAAGCACUUUAAGUUGGGAGGAAGGGCAGUAAGUUAAUACCUUGCUGUUUUGACGUUACCAACAGAAUAAGCACCGGCUAACUUCGUG